GAUGAACGCUGGCGGCGUGCCUAAUACAUGCAAGUCGAGCGAACAGAUGAGGAGCUUGCUCCUCUGACGUUAGCGGCGGACGGGUGAGUAACACGUGGAUAACCUACCUAUAAGACUGGGAUAACUUCGGGAAACCGGAGCUAAUACCGGAUAAUAUAUUGAACCGCAUGGUUCAAUAGUGAAAGACGGUUUUGCUGUCACUUAUAGAUGGAUCCGCGCCGCAUUAGCUAGUUGGUAAGGUAACGGCUUACCAAGGCAACGAGGCGUAGCCGACCUGAGAGGGUGAUCGGCCACACUGGAACGGAGACACGGUCCAGACUCCUAGGGGAGGCAGCAGUAGGGAAUCUUCCGCAAUGGGCGAAAGACUGACGGAGAAACGCCGAGUGAGUGAUGAAGGUCUUCGGAUCGUAAAACUCUGUUAUUAGGGAAGAACAAAUGUGUAAGUAACUAUGCACGUCUUGACGGUACCUAAUCAGAAAGCCACGGCUAACUACGUG
rnacentral:rRNA from 1 species